GACGAACGCUGGCGGCGUGCUUAACACAUGCAAGUCGAACGGAAAGGCCCUGCUUUUGUGGGGUGCUCGAGUGGCGAACGGGUGCGUAACACGUGAGUAACCUGCCCUUGACUUUGGGAUAACUUCAGGAAACUGGGGCUAAUACCGGAUAGGAGCUCCUGCUGCAUGGUGGGGGUUGGAAAGUUUCGGCGGUUGGGGAUGGACUCGCGGCUUAUCAGCUUGUUGGUGGGGUAGUGGCUUACCAAGGCUUUGACGGGUAGCCGGCCUGAGAGGGUGACCGGCCACAUUGGGACUGAGGUACGGCCCAGACGCCUACGGGAGGCAGCAGUGGGAAAUAUUGCGCAAUGGGCGGAAGCCUGAUGCAGCAACGCCGCGUGCGGGAUAACGGCCUUCGGGUUGUAAACCGCUUUCGCCUGUGACGAAGCGUGAGUGACGGUAAUGGGUAAAGAAGCACCGGCUAACUACGUG
rnacentral:rRNA from 1 species